GACAGAGGGGGCAAGCGUUGCUCGGAAUUACUGGGCGUAAAGGGCGCGUAGGCGGGAUGGCAAGUCGGUCGUGAAAUCCCUCGGCUCAACCGAGGAACGUCGAUCGAUACUGCUGUUCUUGAGGAUUGCAGAGGAGACUGGAAUUCCCGGUGUAGCGGUGAAAUGUGUAGAGAUCAGGAGGAACACCUGCGGCGAAGGCGGGUUGCUGGGCCGACACUGACGCUGAAGCGCGAAAGCCAGGGGAGCGAACGGG
rnacentral:rRNA from 1 species